CUUUUCAGUGGUGACCAGCAUCAUGACAAGGGGCAGUGGGCACAAACUGGAAAACAG
rnacentral:miRNA from 7 species